rnacentral:lncRNA from 1 species
GGAGCAAAGGGGACUCGGCCGCCAUGUUAGGAGUACUGGGACGAUUCCGCGGAGCCGGGCAGAGGUUUUAGGGGAAUGAUUAACAAAGGCGUCCGAAGAAAUCGUUGUUGGAAGGUGACCAAGGUGGAAAGAGACGUUGCUUUGGCCCUGCAAGUAAGAAGAGAGAGGGAAUAGCCUGAAGGAGUAACACUAAAUUUAAAAUGACACUUUUUUACCAACCAGCGAAAGCAGAUGUUCAAAGGGGAUAUUGGCCAGGUGCGGUCGCUCACGCCUUUAAUCCCAGCACUUUGGGGGCAGACGCGGGGAGAUAGCGUGAUUCUAGGAGUUCAACCCCAGCCUGGGCAACAUGCGGAGACCCCGUACCGUCUCUACAAAAACAUUAAACAAAAAAAUUAGCUGGGCAUGGUGGUGUACCCCUGUAGUUGCAGCUACACUAGAGGCUGAGGUGGGAGGAUCGCUUGAGCCCGGGAUGUUGAGGCUGCAGUGAGCCUCGAUCCUACCACUGUGCUCCAGCCUGGGCGACAGCAAGCCCGUGUCUCAGAAAAGGCGGGAGGGGUGGGAUAUUAUUGAUGAUAGGCCUUCUGACGUCUGGCAAUAGAUUCCAGAGUAACAUCGGUCAUGGAUAAAUUUUUUUUUUAACUAAGUGACUGAAACCAAAGUUAAUUGUCUUUUGAGUGAUUUUGCACAGUAUCUCAAAAUGAACUGUACUUUUUUUCUUGUGUCACUGAAACAGUGCUGUGUGUUCUUUUUCAGAGUCUGUCACACUAAGAUGAGAAAUGUCCUUUCUUCCUGAAGGUGUCUGAUGUGUAAAAAUAUGAUAUACUUUGUGCUGUUUCCUCCCUUCCCUUUUGCAUAUUAUUCUGAAACAACAUUAACUAGUUACUUUGCGUCAUUGAAGGUAUGCACUUCCCCUCUAUGUUAGGAGUGAAUAAAAUUAAAAAUAGAUCCUUAUAACAAAGAAAGGCAGAUAGAAUGAUUAAAAAUGACCAAAACAUGUUAGAAACAGUCUCUCAGGUGUAUGCAGAUGGUAAUUACAAAAAUACUUUUUCAAAAAA